rnacentral:rRNA from 1 species
AAUCAACGCUGGCGGCGUGCCUCAGACAUGCAAGUCGAACGCGAAAGGCCCCUUCGGGGGCUGAGUAGAGUGGCGCACGGGUGAGUAACACGUAGGUAAUUUGCCUUCGGGUGGGGAAUAACAGCCGGAAACGGCUGCUAAUACCGCAUAAUGCAGCGGCUCGACAUCGAGACAGUUGUUAAAGCGGGGGAUCGCAAGACCUCGCGCCUGAAGAGAAGCCUGCGGCAGAUUAGCUAGUUGGUAGGGUAAUGGCCUACCAAGGCGACGAUCUGUAACCGGCCUGAGAGGGCGGUCGGUCACACUGACACUGACAUACGGGUCAGACUCCUACGGGAGGCAGC